GGAACCUUUUAUUGUACCUUUGUGAUAUCAACAUUCUUUGUGCAUGAUGGGCAUGCCUGGGACAGGAGUUGAAGUAGCCAAGACGCAGCUGCCAUGAAAAAUAUCUCUGAUUUCGGUGGAUAUCCCAGCUGAUUAUGCUGAAAAGCCACUCAGAUACCUUCUACUUUGCAACAGGUGUGGUAGGGAAGACUCUAUGAGGUUCGCACCCAGCAGUGCUGCUAACAUAAGGAACAGGCUACAAAAUAAAGGCCGAUCUGAAUACCUGUCAGUUUUGCAUAGCAAUUCAAGGCACCAGGCAAAAAGGCCGGAUCCUCAGAUGCAACAAACCUGACUUUUGGGCAGGACAACAAGGACAAAUUGUAGACAGAUCACUCCAUCUGGCGUAUCUAACUUUUACCUUUCUAUUACAGAAUAUAACAAAUAUGUUAAAA
rnacentral:lncRNA from 1 species